rnacentral:tRNA from 2 species
AGUCCCGUGGUGUAGUGGCCAAUCAUAGUGGCCUUUGGAGCCACUGACGGCGGUUCGAAUCCGCCCGGGACUA